rnacentral:rRNA from 1 species
UCGCUAGGUCUUGGAAGAGCUUAGUGUUCUGUCAGGGCCGCAGGGAAGCCGUUAAGCGAGCCGCCUGGGGAGUACGGCUGCAAGGCUGAAACUUAAAGGAAUUGGCGGGGGAGCACCACAAGGGGUGAAGCCUGCGGUUUAAUUGGAGUCAACGCCGGGAACCUUACCAGGGGUGACGGCAGAGUGAUGGUCAGGCUAAAGACCUUACCUGACGAGCCGAGAGGAGGUGCAUGGCCGUCGCCAGCUCGUGCUGUGAAGUGUCCUGUUAAGUCAGGCAACGAGCGAGACCCCUGCCGUUAGUUGCUUUUUGUUUCCGAAAGGUAAUGGGAGGAAACUAACGGGACCGCCGCCGAUAAGGCGGAGGAAGGUGGGGGCUACGGCAGGUCAGUAUGCCCCGAAACCCCUGGGCCACACGCGGGCUGCAAUGGUGGAGACAAUGGGAGCCAAACUCGAAAGAGCGAGGAAAUCCCGAAACUCCACCGUAGUAGGGAUUGAGGGCUGAAACCCGCCCUCAUGAACCUGGAAUCCCUAGUAAUCGCGGGUCACUAUCCCGCGGUGAAUACGUCCCCGCUCCUUGCACUCACCGCCCG